rnacentral:lncRNA from 1 species
AUUGUUAGUGGAACAUUAGGUGUUGAGAUUUGGCAAAUGAAUUGCAUGCAUUUUUGCAUGUAAUUAGGUUAUAAAUAGAGGUGUUUUCAAAUGUUGAAGAACUUUUGCCUCUUUUAUCAUUUUCAUCAUCUCAACAAAAGAAAAAAGAAACCUUCCAAUCUCAUUUUAUCUCCAUUACUUUCUACACCAAAAUUGGGUCCCACAACCCGAUUCUUUGUCUAGAGGAUAGCAGUUGAGUACUAGUGGUGGUCUCGGUUAGAAUUGGUAAGAAGAUAUCAAACAUUUUGAAAGCUUCAAAGGUAAUAUUUCUUAAAACCCUAAUUUGAUUAGUUUAUGGUUACAUGUUAAUUGUGGCAAUUAGGGUAGAAAUUCGAUUCUUUUUCCGAUGUGCAUGACUUAGUUCUAUCACAUGUGUCCUUUAAUGAGGAUGUUUUUUGUAUAUUUGCUUUGACAUAGGAAAAGACCCUGAGGAGUGGACAUCUCCUCCCAAGAAAUAAUGUAGAGACCUUAAGUCUUUAAUAGCAAAUUCAUUACCGAGGGUGGUAAUGAGUUGUUGUAUUGCUUGAGGGUAAUUUCUAGUGAUAAUUAUGUCAUCAACGUAGAUAAGCAUAAUGAUUGUGACAUUGGGUUGUUGAAGAAUAAAUACUUUGAAAUAUACUUUACACAAGUGUUAUGCCUGUUUCACACGAUUUUAAUGUCUAAACGUAGGAUAAUAAACAAAGAAAGAAACUAGUGAACCACAAGAAGCAUCUUGCGCAAAGGCUACGCGAUGGGAACUAGCUUGGCGAUUAAUGUCUCCAGGCGAGAAACAAAGUUAUCACUUGAAGAAGGGUCACUAGAAGAUAAGGGCGGUAGUUGAAGGUGAUGUGACAUGUGACAGACACUUUUCAACAGAUGUUGCUGACAAGUUUAGAAGAUACAAGUUUUCCUUCUAAAUACUGCCUAUAUAAAGCAAUCUUCGUCAACCUACAAAAGGAGACGCCUGAAUGGGCGCAAGAGGCUCGAAUAGGCCAAGUAUCCUAGAGAGUGGGGCAAAGGAAUAACCUUUCUGCCAUCUGUAAAUGUUUUCGUCAAUAGAUAUAGAAGAAAACUAUUGAAAUUUUUCUUCUGCAAACUGAGUUCAAUCUCAUGGUUUCUUUCUACAAUAAUAGACUUGAUUCUUUAUGUUUCAUCACAUGAAAAGGUUUGAAAGAUUUUUUAUGUGUUGAAUGUUGGUCUAUUGGAUCACAAAGAUUGUUGGUUGACUUGUUUGAUAGACACACCAUAAAGACUUCAUUAAAGCUAACACAAAUAUAAUGUAGAUUAGUUUAAAGUUAAAAUUUAGUCAUAGAUGGAAGAAGACUGUGAAAUUGCUUGAACAAGAGCUCCCUUCAUGGCUUCCUCCAGUCGUAAGCAAAAUGACAUAUGCAAACGACCUUGUAAAGUAUCAGACAAUCUCCAUUUCUUUAAGGUUGUUAUUGCCGAUGCUCUCAAGUAACAAAAGUUUGUAGGUAAAAAUUAUUCUAAUAUCUAAAGUCUCUUGUUACGUUGUUUGACUUAUUUGUUUUUAAUUUUAAAUUUUUAAUAAAUAAAAAAAAAC